AUCACAUCUAGCCAAGUCGCAGUCAUACACAUUUAUCCAGGAAUCAUAAAAGCUAUAGCAGCUUUACUGAACGAGACGAAGCGUGCUGCCGGGUUUUUUGGGGAUCCUCCACACCAUCCCUCUAAAUUUUUAGACUCCAAGUGGAGGUGCAAGAGUUGCAAAGUGGACAGUGCUACGAAGAAGCACCCUGCAGGAUCAGGACCACCAUGCAGAGGGACAAUGCUGACCCUCACAAACAUUGCUGCUGGAUUUACCCUUGACACAGACUUGUCGGAUAUUCAAAGGUUGGCUUGAUACGCUGAUCAUGACGAGAGGCCAAGGAUUACUGUGGCCCACUUCAACACCUUCCGGGACCAGGUAAUAUGGU